GACGAACGCUGGCGGCGUGCUUAACACAUGCAAGUCGAGCGGUAAGGCCCUUUCGGGGGUACACGAGCGGCGAACGGGUGAGUAACACGUGGGUGACCUGCCCUCAGCUCUGGGAUAAGCCUGGGAAACUGGGUCUAAUACUGGAUAUGACUCCACGGUGCAUGUCGUGGGGUGGAAAGCCUUGUGCGGCUGAGGAUGGGCCCGCGGCCUAUCAGCUUGUUGGUGGGGUGAUGGCCUACCAAGGCGACGACGGGUAGCCGGCCUGAGAGGGCGACCGGCCACACUGGGACUGAGAUACGGCCCAGACUCCUACGGGAGGCAGCAGUGGGGAAUCUUGCGCAAUGGGCGAAAGCCUGACGCAGCGACGCCGCGUGAGGGAUGACGGCCU
rnacentral:rRNA from 1 species